AUCCUCUCAGGUUCAUACCCAGAGAGUUUUCAGUACUCUACCAGUCUCUACUAUAGGAGGGAUAGUCAAGCAGAGGCAUACCCAUUCCAUUCCUAGCUUGGGCAGUGGCUAGUGAGUGGAAGGCAUUCUGCUACAAGU
rnacentral:snoRNA from 1 species